GGAGCGCGGCCGGGGAGGCCGGCACUGCUGCCCACGGGCGUUGAAGGGGCGGGCAGGGAGCAGCGUCGGCAGCCAUGGGCGAGACCGAGAGGCUUUAUUAUGUGUACAGCUGCGACCUGGACAUCAACGUGCAGCUGAAGAUAGGAAGUCUGGAAGGGAAAAGAGAACAGAAAAGCUACAAAGCUCUCCUAGAGGAUCCGAUGCUGAAGUUCUCGGGACUCUACCAAGAGACUUGCUCUGACUUGUAUGUAACUUGUCAGGUGUUCGCAGAGGGGAAGCCUCUUGCUCUUCCAGUUAGAACUUCCUACAAGGCUUUUAGCACUAGAUGGAACUGGAAUGAGUGGCUGAAACUGCCUGUGAAGUAUCCAGACCUGCCUCGAAAUGCUCAGGUGGCUCUGACCAUCUGGGAUGUGUAUGGACCUGGUAAAGCUGUUCCUGUGGGAGGAACAACGGUCUCGCUCUUUGGAAAAUAUGGUAUGUUUCGACAAGGAAUGCAUGACUUGAAAGUUUGGCCCAAUGUAGAAGCUGAUGGCUCCGAGCCCACCAAAACUCCUGGGAGAACCAGCAGUACAGUCUCUGAAGAUCAAAUGAGCCGCUUGGCAAAGCUCACCAAAUCUCAUCGGCAAGGUCACAUGGUGAAAGUGGAUUGGCUGGACAGACUCACCUUUAGAGAAAUAGAAAUGAUCAAUGAGAGGGAAAAACGAAGCUCCAAUUUUAUGUACCUGAUGAUUGAAUUCCGUUGCGUCAAGUGUGAUGAUAAAGAAUAUGGAAUAGUUUACUACGAAAAGGAUGGUGAUGAGUCAUCUCCAAUUUUAACAAGUCCUGAAAUUGUUAAGAUUCCAGAUCCCCAGAUGUCUAUGACAGUGCCUAAAUACAGUUCUAGAAAAGAUUUCCAUUAUUGUGGAUGCCAAUUCAGUGGGACUGGUAUUGGCAGCUUUGGGAACCUUAAUGAGAACUUAGUAGAAAGCAAGCAUCACAAACUUGCUCGAAGUUUAAGAAGUGGACCAUCUGAUCAUGACCUGAAGCCUAAUGCAACUACACGAGACCAGCUUAAUAUCAUAGUGAGUUAUCCACCAACAAAGCAACUAACAUAUGAGGAACAGGAUUUGGUGUGGAAAUUCAGAUAUUACCUUACUCAUCAGGAGAAGGCCUUGACAAAGUUCCUGAAGUGUGUCAACUGGGAUCUACCACAAGAGGCAAAGCAAGCACUGGAGCUUCUGGGCAAAUGGAAGCCCAUGGAUGUGGAAGACUCUCUGGAGCUUCUGUCAUCUCACUUCACCAACCCUACAGUGCGGCGCUAUGCUGUCGCCAGGCUUCAGCAGGCUGAUGAUGAGGAUUUGCUGAUGUACCUGCUACAGUUAGUCCAAGCACUGAAAUAUGAAAACUUUGAUGACAUAAAGAAUGGCCUGGAGCCUAGCAAGAGGGACAGUCAAGGUUCCAUGUCAGAAACUAUGACAACAUCUGGUUCUAAUGCUCCAGAAAUAGACAGUUCCCAGAUUAUGAGUCCUAUUCCACCUGUUUCCUCUCCACCUCUUACUUCUAAGACAAAAGAGCUUGCAGAAAAUGAAAACCUUGAUCAAGAUCUUUGCACUUUCUUGAUAUCACGGGCAUGCAAAAAUUCCACGUUGGCGAACUACUUAUACUGGUAUGUAAUAGUGGAGUGUGAAGACCAAGAUACUCAGCAGAGAGACCCAAAGACUCAUGAAAUGUACUUAAAUGUGAUGAGAAGAUUCAGUCAGGCUUUGCUGAAGGGUGAUAAGUCUGUCAGAGUUAUGCGCUCGCUUUUGGCAGCCCAGCAGACGUUUGUAGAUCGGUUGGUUCAUGUAAUGAAGGCAGUGCAGCGUGAAAGUGGGAAUCGUAAGAAAAAGAAUGAGAGGCUUCAGGCAUUGUUAGCUGAUAAUGAAAAGAUGAAUUUAGCAGAUAUGGAACUUAUUCCACUUCCUCUGGAACCUCAGGUGAAAAUUAAAGGAAUAAUCCCUGAAAAAGCCACACUCUUCAAGAGUGCCUUAAUGCCUGCCCAGUUAUUCUUCAAGACAGAAGAUGGAGGCAAAUAUCCUGUCAUUUUUAAGCAUGGCGAUGAUUUACGUCAAGAUCAACUUAUUCUUCAGAUUAUUUCACUCAUGGAUAAGCUUUUAAGAAAAGAGAAUCUGGAUUUGAAGCUGACACCGUAUAAAGUGCUAGCAACUAGUACAAAACAUGGCUUCAUGCAGUUUAUUCCAUCAGUACCAGUUGCAGAAGUUCUUGCUACUGAGGAAACUAUACAGAACUUCUUCAGAAAACAUGCCCCUAGUGAAACUGGCCCUCAUGGAAUCAGCGCAGAGGUGAUGGACACAUAUGUUAAGAGCUGUGCUGGUUAUUGUGUGAUUACUUACAUCCUUGGAGUUGGAGAUAGACAUCUGGAUAAUCUGUUGCUAACAAAAACAGGUAAACUGUUUCACAUUGACUUUGGUUAUAUUUUGGGCCGAGACCCCAAGCCCCUUCCUCCCCCGAUGAAGCUGAACAAGGAGAUGGUGGAAGGCAUGGGAGGCACCCAGAGUGAGCAGUACCAGGAGUUCCGUAAACAGUGCUACACAGCCUUUCUCCACCUACGCAGGUAUUCCAACUUGAUCUUGAAUUUAUUCUCACUCAUGGUGGAUGCAAACAUUCCAGAUAUUGCUCUUGAACCUGACAAGACUGUAAAAAAGAAAUUAAAUCAGUGCUGAUCUUAACCUGUGCAUUCUCACAGCUAAAAUUGGACUGAAAAUAAGUGAAAAUAAGCAUUGACUUGAAAACAAACAAAGCCUUGUUUGAAGUUGCAAACUGUUCUUGAAGAGUGUAUGGAAAAUGGGUUUCUGAACCAGCUGUCUGCUUGCAGUGGGUAUACAGUGGAUAUACAGAAUAUCACUCAUUUUGAUCACUACGUUCCCUGUAGGAAAACCCGGAAAACAGGAUUACCAACUGCACAAAAUUGUCUCCAUCCUCAAACCUGGAGAAACCCUUUUCAGGUUCUUGAUGUUUAGUUUUAUAAUAAAAACCUUGUCAGUUUUUGACAAGAAAAAGUAACUGCAAAGCUUAAAGUUAGUAGUCUUUUUGAUCCUUUAAUCUCCUUUUGUCCUCUCAGUAUUUAUAAAGAGAGCUGUCAGUAUAGUGUACUUCACCUCACGGUUCAUGACACCAUCUCCUACUGCCACUCUCUGAUUUAGGCUUUUCUGAAAACCUGGCUCAAAAAUGUCACAAAAUGGAAUUAAAUUGAAAGGUAGAAGAGGAUUCUCCUCAGUUUGUGUCUUCCUUUCUCUGGCCCCUGAGAUAAUUGUCUCUAAAUUUUCCACUUUUUACAUAUGCUUUUCCAUUUGUCAGAUUUCAGGAAAAAGGCUGGGCUGAAAUCGUUACAUUGAUUUGUCAAUGCUUAACUGAUAAUACAAUGAAGGUAUCACUGCACUCACUUUUUUCCUGCCACUGCUCCUUGCUUUUCCAUUUCCAGCACAGCUGCAGUGCUAAUUGCUAAUUGUUGGGCUUUGUAAAAUUAGCCAGUGCUAUAAAUUGUAAGUAGUAAUGACUAAAAUCUGGAGUCAAUUAUGUAGUCAGUUUUGCGUAAGGAAGAGGUGCACCAUCACUCUUCAGAUGUAGCUAAUGGAUUCAGCAUUGUCACCUCCUAACAGAAAAAGCUUUUUAUUUUUCUACAGGAAAGCCAGAUGGUUUCUAUCUGUCCUUCAUAGCAGAUUUGACCUUUAAAUGAGAAAUCAUCAGGGACCGGUGAUUCAUUGGCAGACAAAGGACUCAGCAGGCAUUAGAGGACAGUGUCCUAAUUGACUGAGCUCUGUUUCAGAUGUCCAUUGAUUAAAGAAGGUGCUGCAAAGAUGCUUCAUUAUAGGCGAGGUUAUUGUGAGCACAGACAGCACAAAUACUUGGCUCCCAUAAGCAAGAGCUUAACUGCUGCUUGUGAAAGUAGCCUCACACAUUUUGGUAUCACCUUUGGAUAGACACAAAAAAGGAUAAAAUCAAACUGUCCAGAAGAGAGGACAGUCAUCUGUCUGUGGGCUGUAAUACUGAGAGCACCCUCUGCAUUUCCAAGGCUGUGUGAACACUGAUGGGGGUUCACCCCCUUUCACAAGAAGAUGGUCAGUCUAAUUGUUUGGAAACUAACAAAAAGACAGAGCAGACAUGGUUGUUGUCUUUUUUUUUUUUUUUUUAACAUAAUAUAUGUCAAAGUAAAAUUAUUUUUAUUCUACAGGUAUAAAAGCUGAAGCAGAGAUGUGACUAGAGGUACAGAAAGCUUCUGAGCUAACUUGUUUCCAAACCUGACCUAAUUUUUCCAAGUUUUUUCAUCUGGCUUGUAGUGAAACUCACACUGCUUUCCCCCCACUUGUCCUUCCCAGUCAGCCAAAGGAUAAUUGAGAGUUGAGUUCCCAAGUUAGUGAAAUGGAAAGGACUUUCUAAGUUGGAGCUUGAUAAGCCUUUUUAGGCAGUGGAUAUAUGUCCCAUUUCACCUGAUCAAAAGUAACAGUCAGUAUUUGUUAAAAGAUGGUGCUAGGGAAUCUUCCUAGCAUUUAUUAAUGCCGGUAAGAAAUUUACUGGAGUAAUAAAAUAACUUUUUCUUGAUUAGAGUCUGUUUCAGUACUAUUUUUUUUUGCUGCUCCAGGGAGGUUUAUGCUUUGUAAAAGUGUCACAUUGCCAUGGAGCUUAUUUUGCUUUGGCAGACGUUCAUUUCUCUGUCCAUUUGGGUAAUGACAGUGCAGCUGCACACCCAGCUUUUUUGUUUCUAGGCUGUUGAUUUUUUCAUGCAUAUUAAUUCAUUUCAAAAUACUGAAAAAAAUACAGAAGUUGCAGUAAACAUCAAAACAUGAACCAAGUGUGGGAACACUCAUGUGCUCCUUCUGCUUUUUAUCACAGUCUCUAGUUCAUUUUAUGUUUUUCACCAGUAUGAUAAAAUUGUGAGCUGGAACAGUGUCAUCUUUGAGCACUGUAGUGGCUGAAACCCCAGUUCUCACAAAAGUUCAAUUUAGAGAUGUUUGCUAGCAUCUUUGCUGUCUUCUGUUAAAAAAAAUAUAUAUAUAUUAAAAAAAAAAAAAAAUAGGGAAGCCCCCUAACUGGGCUUCUUUAGAAACCACAUUUUGUUCAAAUUGAACACUUGGAAACAAAAACUGUUGUUAGAAUAGUCUCUCAAAUUAAGUUGUUCAUGCAAAUAAAUCAUCUGAAUAGUUUGUGGUGUGAGUUUGGACUGCAAACAACACGGAUAGCAGAAAAAUAUUUACUGAAAAAGAUGAAAUGUGAUAAGGAUUAAGCCAAGUACUUAAUGCCAGUUUCUGCCACAUGAGUAUUAAAUGCUGACUACUGUAAUAAUUACAUGGCAAAACAGUAAAAAUAAUCACCAAAAAAUACUGGUUUUUUACUGUUUUUUUGUUUGCUUGGUUGUUUUUUUUUUGCUGUUAAUUGAUCUUUGUCUCGUUUUAGUAGUGCUUACAUCCAGUCUAUAUUCUGACCCACUGGGAAAGGACAAUGAAGUUUCUCUUUAAAGCAGCUGAAGUUUCAAUGAGCAAUCCCAUUGUGUGAUAAAAUUGUAUAAAACAUAAGCAGUGUUGCUUAAUGUUGGUGGAAGAAUAAAUACUAAAGCACUCA